AUUCCAUGGUGUGGGCAUUUUCUUAGCAGCUCUUUGAACCUUUCCCAGGCUUCACUCACAGAUUCAUCCUCCAAUUGUUGAAAUGAUAUGAUUUCAUUUCGAAAUU